rnacentral:misc_RNA from 1 species
CCUAGAGUUGCGGGCUUUGCCUGCCAUCUCUUACCCAUGUCUUUUGAGCACCUUCGUUUCCUCGGCGGGUCCGCCCGCCGUCAGGACACUUUGAAAACCACUUGCAGUUGCAAUCAGCGUCUGAAAAACUUUAAUAGUUA